rnacentral:rRNA from 1 species
AUACGGAGGGUGCAAGCGUUACUCGGAAUCACUGGGCGUAAAGCGCGCGCAGGCGGGCUGAUAAGUUGGAUGUGAAAGCCUACGGCUCAACCGUAGAACUGCAUCCAAAACUGUCAGUCUAGAGUCUGGGAGGGGAAGAUGGAAUUAGUUGUGUAUGGGUAAAAUCCGUAGAGAUAACUAGGAAUACCAAAAGCGAAGGCGAUCUUCUGGAACAGUACUGACGCUGAGGCGCGAAAGCGUGGGGAGCAAACAGGAUUAGAAACCCUAGUAGUCC